CAUCUGAAGUGUAUGGCCGGUCGUGUUUCUUGCCCAAAUGAGGCCCAAGAGUAUCUGAAAAAGGCGGAAGGUUUGACUGGUUUGUUCUAGAUAAAAACGCGGGAGCACUGAAGGUGUUCCUGGCACGAGGCAUCUUUGUCAUUCACCGCCUUCCUGACUGAAGCUCCCAGCAGCACAACCAGUCUGAGGGCACCGGGCAGCCAUUCUUCCUGCUUCCUCUGGCUAGAAGAAAGGAGAUGCUCUUGGUGAGAUGAGGGGAUUGCAGUCACCUGACGCCCCGAAACGUUGGAGAAUGAGAUGUCUGCAAAAUGAAUUUCUCACUACAAGUGCCUGGUAUCUUGUGGACCUGGCUUCCGUGCUGCUGGUCUCACCCAAAGUCCCUUGUGUAGCCAAUUGAGUGGCACAGGCUGACCGUUGAGCUGGCAGGGUUUAUAAAGAUCAUCCUCUUUUUUUCUUUUAGCAACUUCGGACGGGGGUAGUUGAACCCAUUCUUUUGGGUCACAUCAUCCUGUUUGAUCAGCGCCAUCAAAGCAGGUUGGACAGAGGCGGCACCAUGAACAUCCAGCUAAUUACAGCUCUGGGCAGAUGACUUGCACUGUACUCUUGGGAAACACAGUCUUGCAUAAGAGGCCAAUGCACGACCUCCUGACUGUAGGUAAAUAGGUUUGGUUCCGAGGAUUUCCUCCGCCGUCACCUUCCUGCGGAUAGCCUUAGACCUGGUUACCUCUGUCUCGCCUUCCUAUUUUAUCUGGCUCUGAAGUAGACCCAUUUGAGUAAACAGGAUUUGUUUUACAAUGUCUCUGCAGCUUGCAACACAACAGGGGACUUCAGCAGCACAAGUCAGCAGAUCAGAUGGCGGGUUCUCUCUGCCCGUUCCAGAUGGUAUGCAGCAUGUUCUCGCAGCUGCAGGAACAGGCAUGAAUGCAAACAGCCAUUGUGGCAGCUGUGGGCCGGUGCUUCUCUUGCAGUUUUGU